rnacentral:rRNA from 1 species
CAGUCGCCACGGUAAAACGUAGGGUGCAAGCGUUAAUCGGAAUUACUGGGCGUAGAGCGUGCGCAGGCGGUUAUAUAAGUCAGAUGUGAAAUCCCCGGGCUCAACCUGGGAACUGCGCUUGUGACUGCACAGCUAGAGUAUGGCAGAGGGGGGUGGAAUUCCACGUGUAGCAGUGAAAUGCGUAGAGAUGUGGAGGAACACCAAUGGCGAAGGCAGCCCCCUGGGCCAAUACUGACGCUCAUGCACGAAAGCGUGGGGAGCAAACAGGAUUAGAUACCCGAGUAGUCCCUGUCUCUUAUAC